CCUACGGGCGGCUGCAGUGGGGAAUAUUGGACAAUGGGGGGAACCCUGAUCCAGCCAUGCCGCGUGUGUGAAGAAGGCCCUCGGGUUGUAAAGCACUUUCAGUGAGGAAGAACGCCUGGUGGUUAAUACCCAUCAGGAAAGACAUCACUCACAGAAGAAGCACCGGCUAACUCCGUGCCAGCAGCCGCGGUAAUACGGAGGGUGCGAGCGUUAAUCGGAAUUACUGGGCGUAAAGCGCGCGUAGGUGGCUUGAUAAGCCGGUUGUGAAAGCCCCGGGCUCAACCUGGGAACGGCAUCCGGAACUGUCACGCUAGAGUGCAGGAGAGGAAGGUAGAAUUCCCGGUGUAGCGGUGAAAUGCGUAGAGAUCGGGAGGAAUACCAGUGGCGAAGGCGGCCUUCUGGACUGACACUGACACUGAGGUGCGAAAGCGUGGGUAGCAAACAGGAUUAGAUACCCCUGUAGUC
rnacentral:rRNA from 1 species